AUCUCCUGGCAGUUGGUUCCCCUUAUCCUCGACUUCCUGUUUGGGCUCCAUCGAGGUUUGGCCGUUUCAACAGCUGAACCGAGCCUGUAAGAGAGACAAAAGAGCCCCGUAGCUGGGAGGGUCAUCAAAAGUGAACUGGGAAAACAGUGAUUGGCCCAGAAUGAGUGAAGAAUCCUCAGAUCCGAAGGCUCAGGGCCAGGUCACUCUGAAGAGGAGAAGAUUACAUGUCCACCCAUGGAUCACAUAGCCCAGGGAUGGUGAGAUCAUCCAAAAGGGAAGAAAACCAGUUCUAUCUCCUCAUCUCCCCCUUCACUUCCCCCCAGUGAGGCCAGGCCAGUCUCCUCAGUAUCUCUUCUUUCCUCCCUUCCUAUAGGUCAGGUCUCUUCUUGCCUCUAGGCCCAGGCUCAAGGUAUUGCUCUGCCUGGAAUGCCUUUGUCAACUAUUCCAUCCUUCAAAGUCCAGCUAAAGUCCCACCUCCUUAGUGACAUCAGCUCCGGGUCUCUCUUAGCUUCUUUCUUGGGUUCUUACAAAGGGACCUGGAGCACGGACCAUAAUUCUUCCCCAAAUGUUUCGUCCAUGUGGGUCUUUUCUAGACAACUAGAUUAAACUCUAGUAGGUGGUAGGGAGGGCAGGCUCUAUGGCCUUGUCUUCUCUCCUGCAACACAAAACCAAAUAUACAUCAAUAAAUACUGGCUGAUGAGUAGAAUUUUCCUUUGCAGUCAGAGAUCUGAGAUGGUCUGGUAGGUCCAUAGGCUUUUUUCAGGAGCUCAUUUUACCUUCUUUCUCCUAUGCCAGGUAUUCCUUCCAAAUGACUACAUGGCUGAAUUUACUGAUGACGAGGAGGUUAACAUUCUGUGUUGAGUCCCAGUGUGGGAGGUUUCUGAGCGGUUGGGGAAAAGAGACUGACAGAAAGUUGGAGAAACCAAGGGAGAGGCCCUCAGAGCCUCGGAGAAGUUGGACUUUGGUCUGCUCAGUGGUCAGAAGGUUAACAGGCAGUUCUUUCCUUUUGCUUCUGGCAGAGAUGGCUGAGAGUUUCUUGGGUUUAUUUGAAAAGAAAGGAAGGAGAAUUAAAGGGAGGAAACUUCCACAGUCAGCAGAACAGGUGAGUAGAACAGGUUUUUGGUCCUUAGGCCCAUUCCUG
rnacentral:lncRNA from 1 species